GAGUUUGAUCCUGGCUCAGGACGAACGCUGGCGGCGUGCCUAAUACAUGCAAGUCGAGCGAUGAUUAAAGAUAGCUUGCUAUUUUUAUGAAGAGCGGCGAACGGGUGAGUAACGCGUGGGAAAUCUGCCGAGUAGCGGGGGACAACGUUUGGAAACGAACGCUAAUACCGCAUAACAAUGAGAAUCGCAUGAUUCUUAUUUGAAAGAAGCAAUUGCUUCACUACUUGAUGAUCCCGCGUUGUAUUAGCUAGUUGGUAGUGUAAAGGACUACCAAGGCGAUGAUACAUAGCCGACCUGAGAGGGUGAUCGGCCACACUGGGACUGAGACACGGCCCAGACUCCUACGGGAGGCAGCAGUAGGGAAUCUUCGGCAAUGGGGGCAACCCUGACCGAGCAACGCCGCGUGAGUGAAGAAGGUUUUCGGAUCGUAAAACUCUGUUGUUAGAGAAGAACGUUAAGUAGAGUGGAAAAUUACUUAAGUGACGGUAUCUAACC
rnacentral:rRNA from 1 species